rnacentral:rRNA from 1 species
UACAGAGGUCCCAAGCGUUGUUCGGAUUCACUGGGCGUAAAGGGUGCGUAGGUGGCUUGGUAAGUUUGAUGUGAAAUCUCCGGGCUUAACCCGGAAAUGGCAUUGAAUACUAUUGAGCUGGAGGUUUGGAGGGGGGACUGGAAUUCUUGGUGUAGCAGUGAAAUGCGUAGAUAUCAAGAGGAACACCAGUGGCGAAGGCGAGUCCCUGGACAACACCUGACACUGAGGCACGAAAGCUAGGGGAGCAAACAGG